AUCGCCGCCGGACGGCGCGGGCCGCUAAGGGACGAUUCCCUGUGACUGGCCCGGCCGAGAAGCGACGGGGUCGCAGGGAGCCCCGGCAAUUCGCUCCGGCGAAGGAG
rnacentral:sRNA from 12 species